CACAAUGGUUAUACUUGACUUUAUAAUUCGCAUGAAAUUGAAAUAAGAGUCUUCCAACAGAGGAAAUCAACCGGACUUGAACCCCGGUCUCCAGGGGGUUAGCUCACAGCUCCCUCCACUUCCCACUGUUAGGCAGAGUGCCCUCCACUGCACCACUGUGGGGAUGACAUUGCACAAUAAACAAUCAUCAAUAGAGAGGAUAUACAUGACAUUAAAAGGUAUGUGUGUAUUUCUAUUAUUUCCCUUAUGGUUUUUUCAUGACGACUGACAAAAAACGACAGUGUUACC
ensembl:lncRNA